GCGUGGGAAUCUGCCCUCAGGAGGGGGAUAACGGCCGGAAACGGCCGCUAAUACCCAUAUGCCGAGAGGUGAAAUGAAUUUCGCCUGAGGAUGAGCCCGCGUCUGAUUAGCUAGUUGGUGAGGUAAGAGCUCACCAAGGCAUCGAUCAGUAGCUGGUCUGAGAGGAUGAUCAGCCACACUGGGACUGAGACACGGCCCAGACUCCUACGGGAGGCAGCAGUAGGGAAUCUUGCGCAAUGGGCGAAAGCCUGACGCAGCCAUGCCGCGUGAAUGAUGAAGGUCUUAGGAUUGUAAAAUUCU
rnacentral:rRNA from 1 species